GAUAGGGUCUAGGGAGACCCAGUUUUGAUCAGAUGAAUUCAUUUGGCCAACCACCAUCAACCAACUUGCUAACCUUCAAUUAUUUGGACUUUCUUGGAUCAUGGUAGAUCAUAAAUGCAUAAGAUGAUGAAUUUUGAAAGUUCCCUUGAGAGAUUUGAUCAAUUGGUGAGAUAGCUUGUUGGAGAAGUUACUCAACAUACCCAGUCAAACU
rnacentral:lncRNA from 1 species